GACUAACACUGGCGGCGUGCCUAACACAUGCAAGUCGAACGUCGAACUCACCGAAGCUAAUCGCAAGAUUAACGGAGGAGAGGGAAAGUGGCAAAUGGGUGAGUAAUGUUUGGGUAUCUACCCUUCAGAGGAGAAUAACAUACCGAAAGGUAUGCUAAUACUCCAUUAGACCACGAAGAUGAUGUCUUUGCGGUAAAAGAUAAUUUUUCAUAAAUUGUUACUGAAGGAUGAGCCCAAAUCCUAUUAGCUUGUUGGUAAGGUAAUGGCUUACCAAGGCGAUGAUGGGUAGCUGGUCUGAGAAGACGAUCAGCCACACUGGGAUUGAGAUACAGCCCAGACUCCUACGGGAGGCAGCAGUGAGGAAUUUUGGACAAUGGAGGAAACUCUGAUCCAGCGACGCCGCGUGAGCGAUGAAGGCCUUCGGGUCGUAAAGCUCUGUCGAGUGGGAUGAAGUCCACUGUAGCUUUAGUGAAGGUGGAUUGACAUUACCACUAAAGGAAGUCCCGGCUAACUCCGUGCCAGCAGCUGCGGUAAGACGGAGGGGGCAAGUGUUGUCCGGAAUUAUUGGGUGUAAAGGGCAUGUAAAUGGUUGGGUAAGUCAGGUAUGAAAUCCCUCGGCUCAACCGAGGAAGUGUAUUUGAAACUAUCCGACUAGAGUUUGGGAGAGGAGAGCGGAACUCCCGGUGUAGCGGUGGAAUGCGUAGAUAUCGGGAGGAACACCAGAGGCGAAGGCGGCUCUCUAGUCCAAAACUGACAUCGAAAUGCGAAAGCUAGGGGAGCAAACAGGAUUAGAUACCCUGGUAGUCCUAGCUGUAAACGAUGGGUAUUAGACAUGGGCCGAAAUUCGGUUGGUGUCGAAGCUAACGCGUUAAAUACCUCACCUGGGGAGUACGGUCGCAAGACUGAAACUCAAAGGAAUUGACGG
rnacentral:rRNA from 1 species